AGUGAACGCUGGCGGUAGGCCUAACACAUGCAAGUCGAACGGCAGCACAGUAAGAGCUUGCUCUUACGGGUGGCGAGUGGCGGACGGGUGAGGAAUACAUCGGAAUCUACUUUUUCGUGGGGGAUAACGUAGGGAAACUUACGCUAAUACCGCAUACGACCUACGGGUGAAAGCAGGGGAUCUUCGGACCUUGCGCGAUUGAAUGAGCCGAUGUCGGAUUAGCUAGUUGGCGGGGUAAAGGCCCACCAAGGCGACGAUCCGUAGCUGGUCUGAGAGGAUGGUCGGCCACACUGGAACUGAGACACGGUCCAGACUCCUACGGGAGGCAGCAGUGGGGAAUAUUGGACAAUGGGCGCAAGCCUGAUCCAGCCAGACCGCGUGGGUGAAGAAGGCCUUCGGGUUGUAAGGCCCUUUUGUUGGGAAAGAAAAGCAGCAGGUUAAUACCCCGCUGUUCUGACGGUACCCAAAGAAUAAGCACCGGCUAACUUCGU
rnacentral:rRNA from 1 species